ensembl:lncRNA
AUAUAUAUAUAAUAUUUUUUUAGAUGUGGGUGUGUCGUUUUUAUUUUUUAUUGUUACUUCAUUGUGUCUUUAUAAAGUUAAGUUGCCUCCAUUUGAGGAGUCAACCAAACAUAUCGAAAGGUUGUUUAAACUUGUGUGUGACGCCAUAAAAUAUAGAGGGGACAUUUUAAUUUAUUUUAGUUUAUUUUUCCUUUGCAUUUUCAGCUCUCCAGUUCAUGUGUCACACAUUGUGUUCCACUCUCCAGGUCACCAUUUGAGGUCUUUUAAAUCACUGUGACUAAAUAUUAAUCUGUAAAUAAUUUAGGUUUCGUUUUUAAUAAUGCUGUGUUCCCGGUCUUGUUAUCCAAGCCCUUUUCCUGCCAUAUGUCUCAGAGUAUUGAUCAGUCACUUACUACAUAAUAAAAAGCCUGUUAUAAAAUUACCUUAAAGGGGACAUAUGAUGCAAAAUUCACUUUUACAUGGUGUUUGCAUAUAUGUGUCUUAGCAGUGUGUAGACACAAACACCCUACAAUAAUAAUCCAUUCACUCCUUUUUUUAAGCCCCAAAAAGUAAUCAAGUAUUUUGAUUUUCUGAGUAAUAUGAUGUCAUGUUGCACAAGCCCC